UUUCGAUCCGUAGUUCUCCCACUGUCGGGAUUAGCGUCGUUGUUGUCGUGCCCCUUUGUGUUUUCCCCAAGGCCUUGCCUCGAAAGUCGUGUCCGCUGACGUAUAGUUUGAGUUUCAUGUAUACUUGUGCACUAGCGUUUCGUUCCGCGUUCUAAGUGCAUGUUAUCAAAACUCUCAAAGUUUUGUUUUCUGUGUGUAAUUGUUUCUUGAACCGCGUAUCAAACACAACACUAACGUAUGUGUAGACCAAAAUGUUUUCUGAUUGUUUUGGCAACGGUUGGAAC
rnacentral:lncRNA from 1 species